rnacentral:rRNA from 1 species
CAGUAGCCGCGGUAAUACGAAGGGUGCAAGCGUUAAUCGGAAUUACUGGGCGUAAAGCGUGCGUAGGCGGUUUGUUAAGUCUGUUGUGAAAUCCCCGGGCUCAACCUGGGAAUGGCAAUGGAUACUGGCAAGCUAGAGUGUGUCAGAGGAUGGUGGAAUUCCCGGUGUAGCGGUGAAAUGCGCAGAGAUCGGAAGGAACAUCUGUGGCGAAGGCGACUAUCUGGGCCAACACUGACACUGAGGCACGAAAGCGUGGGGAGCAAACAGGAUUAGAGACCCCCGUAGUCCCUGUCUCUUAUAC